UCUCAUCCCAAAGUAGUUCCAAAAGUAAUGACAGUAACAGCUGCAUAUGGAGUUUUAGAAGACCCUUUGCUGCCUCAUUCAUAAAUAGAAUGAAAUAAGAGGCCAAUAAUGGGAACAUAGUGCUACUUUUUAUGAAAUAUAAACUAUAUUUCUACUCCAAACUCAUUAUAUAUCCAUCCUGUGGUAUACAUUUGAAAACAAGCAACUUGAAAGAAGCAACUGUAUCAUCUUCAUCUCAAUAUCCAGCACAGAAUCUGACCUGGGAGAAUAGAGGAGACUGUCACAUUUGGUUGAAGAAAUGCUUAAGCAGUAAGAGAAGACAUGAUUAAAGAUUCACCUGCUGUACAACUCCCAGACCAUUCAACAUACCUGGACAUCGGCUUCCAUCUUGUUCAUCACUUCAUCUUUAUGUCACUUCUUCAGUAGAAUUCUGGUCUAGUUUUUCUGAUCUUGAUUUCUUUUUGUCCCUUGACUCUUUGAUCCUUUUAAUCACAUAAAGUUUCAAGUGAUACUUGCAAAUUAUCACCCACUUGCAAGUAUCUUAUUAAUGGUUUCCUUGAGCUUAGA